rnacentral:tRNA from 1 species
GCGGCUGUGGCGGAAUUGGUAGACGCGCAGCGUUGAGGUCGCUGUGGGGUAGUACCCGUGGAAGUUCGAGUCUUCUCAGCCGCACCA